rnacentral:rRNA from 1 species
AACAAGGUUUCCGUAGGUGAACCUGCGGAAGGAUCAUUGUCGAAGCCUCCUCGGACGACCCGCGAACUUGUUCACGCAUGCCCCGCAGCGGCGAGGGGUCGGCGGGUGUGCCGGCGGCCCCAACAACGAACCCCGGCGUGGGACGUGCCAAGGACAACCCCAAUGAUAUGGCACGCCCCCGUCGCUCGUUUGCGGGCGACACGGGGCGGUGGCUUCUUUCGCGAACCAAAACGACUCACAGCAACGGAUAUCUCGACUCUCGCAUCGAUGAAGAACGUAGCGAAAUGCGAUACUUGGUGUGAAUUGCAGAAUCCCGUGAACCAUCGAGUCUUUGAACGCAAGUUGCGCCCGAGGCCGUCAGGCCGAGGGCACGUCUGCCUGGGCGUCUCGCAACGCGUCGCCCCCCGAACCCCUCUCCUGCAGGGGCGCCGGGGGGCGGACACUGGCCCCCCGUGAGCCGCGGCUCGCGGUCGGCCCAAAAAUCGAGCCGCCGGCGACGGACGGCGCGGCGAGUGGUGGAGAACGACUGCGUGCCGCGCCCGUCGCCGUGGGCGGUCUCGCGCGACCCCGAAGCGGCGAGAGCAUCGACCGCGACCCCAGGUCAGGCGGGAUCACCCGCUGAGUUUAAGCAUA